rnacentral:rRNA from 1 species
AUUGAACGCUGGCGGCAUGCCUUACACAUGCAAGUCGAACGGCAGCGGACCUUCGGGUGCCGGCGAGUGGCGAACGGGUGAGUAAUAUAUCGGAACGUACCUUUCAGUGGGGGAUAGCGUAGCGAAAGUUACGCUAAUACCGCAUAUUCUGUGAGCAGGAAAGCAGGGGAUCGCAAGACCUUGCGCUGAUUGAGCGGCCGAUAUCAGAUUAGCUAGUUGGUGAGGUAAAGGCUCACCAAGGCGACGAUCUGUAGCGGGUCUGAGAGGAUGAUCCGCCACACUGGAACUGAGACACGGUCCAGACUCCUACGGGAGGCAGCAGUGGGGAAUUUUGGACAAUGGGCGCAAGCCUGAUCCAGCCAUGCCGCGUGAGUGAAGAAGGCCUCGGUUGUAAG